CCUACGGGAGGCAGCAGUGGGGAAUAUUGCACAAUGGGGGAAACCCUGAUGCAGCGACGCCGCGUGAGUGAAAAAGUAAUUCGUUAUGUAAAGCUCUAUCAGCAGGGAAGAAAAUGACGGUACCUGAGUAAGAAGCCCCGGCUAACUACGUGCCAGCAGCCGCGGUAAUACGUAGGGGGCAAGCGUUAUCCGGAUUUACUGGGUGUAAAGGGAGCGUAGACGGCAGUGCAAGUCUGGAGUGAAAGGCUGGGGCUCAACCCCCGGACUGCUCUGGAAACUGUACGGCUGGAGUGCAGGAGAGGUAAGUGGAAUUCCUAGUGUAGCGGUGAAAUGCGUAGAUAUUAGGAGGAACACCAGUGGCGAAGGCGGCUUACUGGACUGUAACUGACGUUGAGGCUCGAAAGCGUGGGGAGCAAACAGGAUUAGAUACCCCUGUAGUC
rnacentral:rRNA from 1 species